rnacentral:rRNA from 1 species
AUCAUGGAGAGUUUGAUCCUGGCUCAGGAUGAACGCUGGCGGUAUGCCUAACACAUGCAAGUCGAACGGAAUCUUCGGAUUCAGUGGCGGACGGGUGAGUAACGCGUGAGAAUCUGCCUUCAGGAUGGGGACAACAGUGAGAAAUCGCUGCUAAAACCCAAUGUGCCGAGAGGUGAAAUACUUGUAGCCUGAAGAGGAGCUCGCGUCCGAUUAGUUAGUUGGUGGGGUAAGAGCCUACCAAGGCAGCGAUCGGUAGCUGGUCUGAGAGGAUGAGCAGCCACACUGGGACUGAGACACGGCCCAGACUCCUACGGGAGGCAGCAGUGGGGAAUUUUCCGCAAUGGGCGAAAGCCUGACGGAGCAAUACCGCGUGAGGGAGGAAGGUUUUUGGAUUGUAAACCUCUUUUUUUAAGGAAGAAGAAAGUGACGGUACUUAAAGAAUAAGCAUCGGCUAACUCCGUGCCAGCAGCCGCGGUAAUACGGAGGAUGCAAGCGUUAUCCGGAAUCAUUGGGCGUAAAGCGUCCGCAGGUGGUUAAUCAAGUCUGCUGUUAAAGACAGAAGCUCAACUUCUGAUAGGCAGUGGAAACUGGGUAACUAGAGUAUGGUAGGGGUUGAGGGAAUUCCCAGUGUAGCGGUGAAAUGCGUAGAUAUUGGGAAGAACACCAGUGGCGAAGGCGCUCAACUGGGCCAUAACUGACACUCAGGGACGAAAGCUAGGGUAGCGAAAGGGAUUAGAUACCCCUGUAGUCUUAGCUGUAAACGAUGAACACUAGGCGUUGCUUGUAUCGACCCGAGCAGUGCCGUAGCCAACGCGUUAAGUGUUCCGCCUGGGGAGUACGCACGCAAGUGUGAAACUCAAAGGAAUUGACGGGGGCCCGCACAAGCGGUGGAGUAUGUGGUUUAAUUCGAUGCAACGCGAAGAACCUUACCAGG